rnacentral:misc_RNA from 1 species
GUCGAUGGGGGUAAAACACCACUUAAACAUCAAAUAUCUAAAAUUAAGGUGAUUACAACUGAAAAUCGCUUGCAAUUUCCCAUCUCAAGGCUGAGAACAAGUUUUCAGUCACAUUCACAACAAAGUUUAAUCCUCAGCAGGAGGAGGCAACACAACACCACAAACAACUACGAAUCCUAAGAGUUCAGUUAGUGACAUUUCCCAGCAUAUCAUUACUCAUUUAAAAAUUGCCCGGGCAGCGGUUGAAGAAAAUAUUCAUGAAAUUAAAGACAGCUACUGCAGUUACCCAGCUCUUGAACAAUAGCUUCCAUAGAUGGUCUUUCAAUAGGAGAUUCAUGAGCGCAAAGCCAAGCAAUUCUUGCAAGCUUAGCUGCUUCAUAUUCGUCGAACCUCCCAUGCAGAUUGGGGUCAAUGUAAUCUUGGAAAGUGCAAGACUCAGCUGCUAGACGUACUAAGUUUGUAACUUCUCGCUUCCCUGAGAGAACUUGGAAAACAAUCACCCCAAAUGCAUAUACAUCACUUUUGUCAGUGAAUCGGCCAGUUGCUGCAUACUCAGGAGCUAGGUAACCCAUUGCAGCACUGGCCUUGAGGGCUGAGAAUACAAUGUCAUUUGUAAGAAGGUUCUGCAAACCAGAAUCUGCGAGCAAUGGAUAGCGUCGCUGGUCUAAAAGCACUUUUUGAGCUGUAAUGUUUUGGUGAAUCAAAGCAGGCUUGUUCACCUUGUACCCAUGCAAGUAGGCUAUACCUUUGGCAAUCCCCUUGACAAUAGAGACUCUGGUGGACCAUUCGAGCACACAGCCAUCACCAUCCUUCACAUCAAGGUACUGCAGCAAAUUACCAUUGGGAACAAAAUCAUAAAUGAGAAAGCACUCCCCACGGCCCCUUGAACAACAAAAUCCUCUCAACCUCACUAAAUUCUUAUGCCUCAGCGAGGUCAAAAUAUUCAAUCCCUUCAAAAAUUCAGCCUCCUCCGACUUGCAGCUAGUUUUACUAAUGCUCUUGAUAGCAACAACAGAGCCAUCUCUCAAAAUUCCCUUGUAUGUUGCAGAAAAGUUACUCUUACCCAACAAAUUCACUUCUGAGAAGUACUGUGCAGCAGUCUCCACCUCAUCCAAGUUGAACAUGAAGCUCCGGAAGACAUCUUCCUCAUGCCCACUGAAAUUCCUACCAUCCGCUAAAGGAUCCCAUCCAUUAGAGUACUCAAGACUGAUUAGAGGAGAGCCAUUCUUCCUGUAAACCCCCUUGGCCUGAUCUGUACUUGGACGACUAUCAGAAAUUUCAAAUGAGCUACCAAGCUUCUGCUUUUGGCGACGGUACUGAGUAAAUGUCAGAAUUCCUAUAACGGACAAUGCAAUAGUCAAGAUGAUUGUGCCAACAACAACUGCAGCCUGAUGGGUUCUCGAUGAAUUUGAACAGUGCGUUUGGUUGCAAGGCAGCUGCAAAUUUGCAGUUUCAGGAAUCUCCCUUGUUGGCAAACCAGUCGAAUCUGGUCCAAAGGGUUCAGGUCUGCUCGGAUUAAUAUGAUCUGAUGCAUUGCAAGCUUUCAAAUUCAUAAAACCAGCCCCACAUAAUCCCAGGUUGUUUUGGUAUAAGAAUCCGUCACUCAGUCUCUUAAGAGCCAGUGGUACAUUGCCAGAGAGAGAGUUGUUCCGGACAUCCAGAACUUCAAGCAGAGGAGCAUCGGCUAGUUUGGUAGGAAUCGAACCAAAGAAACUAUUAAAACUUAAAUCUAGUCUCAUCAACACGCCCAUAUCACCUAAACUUGCAGGGAUUGCACCAGUGAGUUGAUUGGAUUGCAGAGCAAGAACAUUCAGCUUCUUCAAAGAUCCUAACUGGGUGGGUAUGCUUCCGGUGAACUGGUUAUAACAAAGCUGCAAAACUUGCAAAUUCUCCAUGUCUCCGAUCUCAGGAGGUAUUUCUCCAGAGAGAUUAUUCACAUUCAAGUACAAGUCACUAAGCCCCUUCAAGUUAGCUAUUUCCUUGGGCAUCUUACCAUACAGAGAGUUAUAAUGCAAGUAGAGGCCUGUCAAGUGCAUUAACCCAGCAAUAGCAGGAGAUAGCUUCCCACGGAGCCCCUUUCCCUGCAAGGAAAUAUUAGCCACUUGACCAUAAUCGUUGCAGGCUAUACCCUCAAAGGAACCAUCACAUGGGUCGCCAUUGUUGGUCCAUGAAGAUAGGUACUUGUCCUCGGGGUCCAAGGCAGCUUUCAUGUCCAUGAGCGCUCUUAGCUCGGUGUUUGCACGAACCCGAGUUUCCUUGGACAUGAAAACAAAGAAAGCAAAGAGGAAAACAGCAAGACUCAUUUCUGAUUUUAACUCAAUAUGGAGGAUAAGCUCUCCCUAAACAAGCUGCCCCGGUUUUGAGCUUCCUCUCUAUGUCUCUCCAGAUUCUGUUGUGGUCACAGAUUUGCUCCUCUAUUUGAAUGUUUGUCCUUUGUAAGCCUGGCGAGCGAGCAAAAGUAACCUCUCUCUCUCUACUUUGUAAGCUAGUAGUCUGUUUCUAAUUGGCAUAAGAGAAGAUGAUAGCAGUCCACAGACAAGGUUGGCAGGGGGCAUCCAUAAUUGUUUUAGUGUAAAGAAGCACCAUAUGGGAAAACUCAAAAAGAGAAGAAAAGAUUCAAUUUUUAUUGUACGCCGUCCGAUUAUCUGACUUUGGUUGGAUGAGUAUAGGGUCUUGAAAUGCUCGGCUACAUGGUAAUGUUCU